UACGUAGGGUGCAAGCGUUGUCCGGAAUUAUUGGGCGUAAAGAGCUCGUAGGCGGUUUGUCGCGUCUGCUGUGAAAACCCGCAGCUCAACUGUGGGCUUGCAGCUGAUACGGGCGGGCUGGGAUUCGGUAGGGGAGACUGGAAUUCCUGGUGUAGCGGUGAAAUGCGCAGAUAUCAGGAGGAACACCGGUGGCGAAGGCGGGUCUCUGGGCCGAUAUCGACGCUGAGGAGCGAAAGCGUGGGGGAGCGAACAGG
rnacentral:rRNA from 1 species